CAUGGACAGAGGAGCCUGGUGGGCUACAGUCCAUGGGGUUGCAAAGAGUUGAACAUGACUUGGCAAUUAAACAACCACAACCUAGUAGUUAUCUCAUCAAAUGUCCCUAAGUCUGGGUUUGUCUGAUUAGAUGGGAUAAAAUAUUUUUGGCAGGAUCACUACUGAAGUGAUGUUAUGACCUUCAUCCUUCUCUGUGCAUCACUUCAGAAGGUGCAUGAGUGCAGUGUGUGCCGCUAAUGAUAUCGAUUUUGAUCAUUUGGUUAAGGUGCUGAAUGAUAGAAUUAUCCACCAUAAAAGUGUUUUCACAUUUGCAAUGAAUAAAUAUCUUGUGGGGAGACACUUUGAGACUAUUCAAAUGUCCUGUUUCUCAUCUCACUUUUUCCCAUUAACUUUAGCAUCCUUCAAUGAUUACUUCUCUGCAACAAUGUUCACUGUGGUGUUUACUAAUGGUCAUUUUUAAUUUUCAUCAUUCCUUAUAAAAUUAUUAAUUGAAUUCUGCUGUAAGGAAGAGCAAGUCCUUCAUCUCCACUUAUUAUUCAUUUAUUUUUGGAUUAGUAUGGAUUCAUGGAUAUUUAUUUUAGUCUAUGUGUUAUAAUCCAUUACUAUACUUUUAUUUAUUUUGUUGCUCAAACUGUCCCAGAUAUAGUCAGUGGGAGCUUAUUUAAUUUAGUCCAUGUGUCUUUUUCAACAUAUUCACAUCAUUUGUUGAACAUUUCCUUCUUAUUUUUUGGUUCCAUAAGUAUUUCAGGCUCAUCUUAUACAUAUAAUUUUUAAUGCUUCUGUCCUCCAAUUUCCUAUAUCUUUAAGGAUCUCCAUUUCCUUUUAUCAAAUAAUGAUACUUAUAAACCAAAAGAUGAGCACUAGGUAAAGUUAUUACUACUGAGAUGUUACUACUUCCAGGAUCUCUUAGGAAAGAUAGCUAUGAAAUGAUAUAUUUACUUACUAAUGCAAAAUAUGCAUAUAUAUUCAUUUCUGUAUCUAUUUAUGCACACACACAUAUUAAAACUAUAAGUUCAGACUAAUAGUUCUAAUCCCAGUCCCGCAUCACUAGAUUUACUGUCAUUUUCUUCCUUUCCUUAUUUAUAGCUCCUUUCUCUGACCAGGAGAAGCUUGGCCCUCAUUUUUCACCACAUAUUCACUUACUAUAAUCCAAGUAUACACAUAAACUAGUUUCCAAAUUUCUAACUCACACCCUUGCAUCAAAAACAAAUUUACUAAUGUUAAAGAAAAAAUAAUCAAUGAUGUGUGUUAAAGAUGGUAAGGCAGACUUUGUUCAGGACCAUCAUGGUAGGUGGAGGAUAACAUACUCUACAGAAAACAGUUUAGACAGCUCUUAUUCACUUAAAAAUCAGAUCAUUAAAGUCAUUCCAUACCAAUUCAGGGAAAUUGUCUCCCCAACCCCCCACCUCUCUUUUUUAACGGCUACCUAGCAUCCAGUGUAUGGAUGGACUAUAGUUUAUUCAAUAACUCUUCAACGUAUGGACAUUUAGGUUGUUUCCAGUAUUUUGCAUAUGCAAGCAAUGCUGAAGAAAUGUUCACAUUUAUUUUCAUAUUUUUGAAGGUGUAGCUGCUGGAUAAAUUACUAGAAGUGAAACUGCUGAGUCAAAAGGUUGGUGUGUAUGAAAUUUUGUUAACUAUCUCCAAAUUCCCUUCCAGAUGGAGCACACCAAUUUUCAUUUCCACCAGCAAUGUAUGAAAGAAACUAUAUCCUUUAGGGAUUUAUUUAAUGGUCAGAGACGAGGCCACAUGAACUUCUGGGAUACAGACAUUUUAAAAUUCAAUUUAAUAUUUGUUGAAAUACUUUCUUGCUUUUCUCCUCUGUAUGUGUAAGCCAGCAGUUUGUUAACUAUGACAUUGGGCAAGGUACUUAAACAAUAAAACUUGGCUUUAUUGUUUAUACAUAUGUAAAAUAAUAAAACUUAAUUUUAAAAACUUUUUUAAGAUAGUAAAUGAGAUUACGUCUGUAGGGAGUGUAUUACAGUGCCUGGCAAUAAAUGAGAAUUUGGGAUGAGUGAAGUGCUUCAUAAAUACAUAGUGAAAUAAAGUGUUUAAUUUUCUCCUGGCAUCUUUGCACAGCACAAAUGCCUGAAUAAAAUGGCUCUUCUUCACAGUAGUUCACCUGUGUCUGUGCUGGGAGAUAUUAGGGCCCAUCCUUUCCUUUAAUUGUUGGGCCCUCAAUUGUAGCACAGCAUCAUAGUCAAAUAUUUACUCAGGAAUGUGGUAUAUCUCAAUUUAGCUAUUUGUCCAAAAUACCUACCAAACCCACCAUCUCUUCUCUAUCCCUAAAGACACUGCCCUAAUCCAGGGCCCCAUCUGUGACCUGGUCUCGGGUCUUCUAACAGCUCUCGCUGACUGGACUUGCUCCUCCAACUCCUUCUCUACACAGUUCUGGAGGAUUCCACUGUAAUCUCUUUUGUGUAAUUUCCAUAGGUAAAAGCCUUUCUUUGAUUCCACAUGGCUUAGGGAUUUUAAAGCCCAUAGGUAUAUUUGCCUUUUCCUUGAUAAUCCUUGGGCUUUCCCACCAGUAGGCUUUUGGGCAUGUUAUUCCAUUGGCCUGGAAUUCCCUGCCUGAUCUUUCAGCCUGGUGAAAUCCUUGUGAAAUUUUUGUUUUGUGGUGUCCCUGACUGCUUGUUACUGCCAAUGGCACUUGGAAUGAAAUCUCCACCCUAGCUCUUCACAGCUGUUCUGGCCCCCUGCUUAGACAUUAAGUACAAAAUCUAGGUUUCGUUUAUCCUUGUUUCAUGUACCAGGUUAUAUUGCCUUAAUCUUCCUUGUUCUCUAACAGUCUCCUUAGUCAGACUUCCAGCUGCUUGAGAGCAACAGUGAUGGUUUAAUCACCUUACCAUCUGUAAGACCUCACAAAGACCCGGUCCAGAGUGAGGGGUCAAUAACGCAUGCUGCUGAGUGUGUUUGCUGUGGGCCGUGGGGUCAGGGAAGAGCGCUCCAGUUUUCAAAAGCAGAAGAAGUCUGUUCUCCACACUGAUGGGACAGGCAUGACUCGCUCCCACCUGUUUUCUUUCUUUCCUCCUAUGGGAGGCCAAGGCUCCCAAGACCAGGCUGCUUGCACUGAAAACUGCUCUGCUCUUUUAUGCACUGCCUUAACGAGAGCUUAUCCCUGCCUCUUUAACAUGAAGUGUUGAAGUUAUUUUAAUCUUGUUAAUCGUAGUUUAUUUUGGGUAGUCAGCUGAACAGUGAUACAUGUGUCUUAAACCAGUGGUUCUCAUUUUUUUCUCCCAAUGCCUUGUCCCAGAGUAUACUUGAGGAUUUGUCAGACUAGAGUGUGGAGGAAUGAAAAAGGGUUCAGAAGUCUUUAGAGGUCAGCAACAGAGCCCCCGCUCUUCCUCUUAGCCAAAUGAACUCACUCUGUAGGAGUGAGAUACUCAGAACUGUAUUAGAGAAAGCCUAACCCUCACUGUACACAUGUGCCUAACUGCCAGUGAUUCCCAACCGCCAGCUAUCCUGAAGGGUGUCUAAGGUCAGCGCAUGCGUCCAACCACCAGUGAGUCCCAAAAGCCAGUGAUCCCGAAGGGUGUCUAACGUCAGCGCAUGCGCCAAACAUCAAGCGCUGUCUGAGGCGGUGCCUAACGUCAGCGCAUGCGCCCAACCACCAGUGAGUCCCAAAAGCCAGUGAUCCCGAAGGGUGUCUAACGGCAGCGCAUGCGCCAAACCUCAAGCGAUGUCUGAGGCGGUGCCUAACGUCAGUGCAUGCGCCCAACCGCCAGUGUGUCCCAACCGCCAGUGAUCCCGAAGGGUGUCUAACGGCAGCGCAUGCGCCAAACCUCAAGCGAUGUCUGAGGUGGUGUCUAACGUCCGCGCAUCUGCCCAGCAGCAAGUGAUGUUUGAAGGGUGUCAAAUGCUAGUUAGCACAUGCUCCAAGCCACAAGUGGAAUUUGUUGUUUGAAAGUGUGGAAGAAUUAUCUGUCUCAGACAUGGAGGCACCCACUUCGUGGGUUUGGAUUGUAUGUGCUCUCGUCUUCUCUCUUCACUAAACUGACCCUCAAAGACCCGCCAGACUGGACCAAGACCUCUGGAGCACUUCCCAGGAAGCUUCUUGCUUGGAAGAUUAGCAGUUUCUCCCCAAGCAUCGCUCUCAACUUGCUGAACACCUGACAACAGUUCCAGCAGGACAUCUCCCUCAGAUCCCAGGACAGGCAGCAUUCGGUAGAGCCCAGGGUUUGGAAUCAGAGUCCUCGGUGCCAUAUUGUGACCUCAGCAUAUCAUCUGUGACAUCUUGGGCCAACUGAUCAACCCCUAACUCUGGGGUCCUAAUUUCUGCACAGGUAUGAUCUGGGCAUGUGCGUCUGUGGAAUUAUAGCAUCACAUCUGAUUACAAUGCCAACAGCAAACACACCAAAUCACCUGGACCAGGUUAUGAAUCUGUACCCAGAAAAUCCAGGUCAGUGUCUUUGUAGGAUGACACAGAGAUAUCACUUAUAAACCUAGACAAGGGCACUGAGGUUCAUGGACUGUAAGUGAAUUUCCUGAUCAAGCUAUUAUUGCCUUUGAGUAAUAAUUAAAGCCAUUGAAAUGUUCUACAUCUGGGAAUGGAGGAGGGUUGAUUUUCAUGAAACCUUAGGAGAAGCUGCUGUCAGGUUGCCAAUGAAGUGUAAGCCUGCUCAUGAAAGAUAUCUUUGUAGAUUAUAAACUUUUGCUUGAUAUAUAACUCAAAUCUUGAAGGUGAUUUUAGCUAAAAAUAACUCAAGCCACAUGGAGCCUACGUGCUACGUACUGUGCUUCUGGGAAGUCAAGGAUCGAUCUUGAGACCCGGGAGGGUGAAGAGACAAGGAAGAACAGGGCGUCGACAGCAGACACACCUGAGUCUCAGCCCCACUUCAGACUGCCCCUGGAAGCCACAGUUCCCUCAUGUAUAAAAUACCGACUGUAAUCAACUGAUUCAUUCAUCUGUUAACUCACCUAGCUUUGGGUCUAGCACACUGUCAUUUCCACUGACAUGGCAUCAUUUCAAAAGAAGCCUCCAGGUCAAGCCCAACAUCAAAGAUGAAGAAUUGCUGCACCCACGAAGAGGCCACGGGAGAAUUGUGGGUACUAGGAAGGCUGGAGAGAAAUAUAAUCUAUUGCAGUCUUUUGUAAAGUUUUGUCAAUGUGUCAUUGAAAUACAUUCCUAGAAGUGGGAUAACUGGGAUACAGAUUAAGUACACAUGUAAUUUUUCUAAAUAUCACCAAAUUCUCCUUCAUAGUACUUUAAACAUUAAAACCAUU